GCUUAACGCGAAGAACCUUACCACCUUUUGACAUGCCUGGACCGCCACAGAGAUGUGGCUUUCCCUUCGGGGACUGGGACACAGGUGCUGCAUGGCUGUCGUCAGCUCGUGUCGUGAGAUGUUGGGUUAAGUCCCGCAACGAGCGCAACCCUCGCCAUUAGUUGCCAUCAUUCAGUUGGGAACUCUAAUGGGACUGCCGGUGCUAAGCCGGAGGAAGGUGGGGAUGACGUCAAGUCCUCAUGGCCCUUACAGGGUGGGCUACACACGUGCUACAAUGGCGACUACAGAGGGUUAAUCCUUAAAAGUCGUCUCAGUUCGGAUUGUCCUCUGCAACUCGAGGGCAUGAAGUUGGAAUCGCUAGUAAUCGCGGAUCAGCAUGCCGCGGUGAAUACGUUCCCCGGGUCUUGUACACA
rnacentral:rRNA from 1 species